rnacentral:rRNA from 1 species
GGCUCAGAUUGAACGCUGGCGGCAGGCCUAACACAUGCAAGUCGAGCGGUAGCACAGAGAGCUUGCUCUCGGGUGACGAGCGGCGGACGGGUGAGUAAUGUCUGGGAAACUGCCUGAUGGAGGGGGAUAACUACUGGAAACGGUAGCUAAUACCGCAUAACGUCGCAAGACCAAAGUGGGGGACCUUCGGGCCUCAUGCCAUCAGAUGUGCCCAGAUGGGAUUAGCUAGUAGGUGGGGUAACGGCUCACCUAGGCGACGAUCCCUAGCUGGUCUGAGAGGAUGACCAGCCACACUGGAACUGAGACACGGUCCAGACUCCUACGGGAGGCAGCAGUGGGGAAUAUUGCACAAUGGGCGCAAGCCUGAUGCAGCCAUGCCGCGUGUGUGAAGAAGGCCUUCGGGUUGUAAAGCACUUUCAGCGGGGAGGAAGGCGAUAAGGUUAAUAACCUUGUCGAUUGACGUUACCCGCAGAAGAAGCACCGGCUAACUCCGUGCCAGCAGCCGCGGUAAUACGGAGGGUGCAAGCGUUAAUCGGAAUUACUGGGCGUAAAGCGCACGCAGGCGGUCUGUCAAGUCGGAUGUGAAAUCCCCGGGCUCAACCUGGGAACUGCAUUCGAAACUGGCAGGCUAGAGUCUUGUAGAGGGGGGUAGAAUUCCAGGUGUAGCGGUGAAAUGCGUAGAGAUCUGGAGGAAUACCGGUGGCGAAGGCGGCCCCCUGGACAAAGACUGACGCUCAGGUGCGAAAGCGUGGGGAGCAAACAGGAUUAGAUACCCUGGUAGUCCACGCCGUAAACGAUGUCGAUUUGGAGGUUGUGCCCUUGAGGCGUGGCUUCCGGAGCUAACGCGUUAAAUCGACCGCCUGGGGAGUACGGCCGCAAGGUUAAAACUCAAAUGAAUUGACGGGGGCCCGCACAAGCGGUGGAGCAUGUGGUUUAAUUCGAUGCAACGCGAAGAACCUUACCUGGUCUUGACAUCCACAGAACUUUCCAGAGAUGGAUUGGUGCCUUCGGGAACUGUGAGACAGGUGCUGCAUGGCUGUCGUCAGCUCGUGUUGUGAAAUGUUGGGUUAAGUCCCGCAACGAGCGCAACCCUUAUCCUUUGUUGCCAGCGGUCCGGCCGGGAACUCAAAGGAGACUGCCAGUGAUAAACUGGAGGAAGGUGGGGAUGACGUCAAGUCAUCAUGGCCCUUACGACCAGGGCUACACACGUGCUACAAUGGCAUAUACAAAGAGAAGCGACCUCGCGAGAGCAAGCGGACCUCAUAAAGUAUGUCGUAGUCCGGAUUGGAGUCUGCAACUCGACUCCAUGAAGUCGGAAUCGCUAGUAAUCGUAGAUCAGAAUGCUACGGUGAAUACGUUCCCGGGCCUUGUACACACCGCCCGUCACACCAUGGGAGUGGGUUGCAAAAGAAGUAGGUAGCUUAACCUUCGGGAGGGCGCUUACCACUUUGUGAUUCAUGACUGGGGUGAAGUCGUACA